rnacentral:rRNA from 1 species
GAUGAACGCUGGCGGCGUGCCUAAUACAUGCAAGUCGAGCGAACGGACGAGAAGCUUGCUUCUCUGAUGUUAGCGGCGGACGGGUGAGUACACGUGGAUAACCUACCUAUAAGACUGGGAUAACUUCGGGAAACCGGAGCUAAUACCGGAUAAUAUUUUGAACCGCAUGGUUCAAAAGUGAAAGACGGUCUUGCUGUCACUUAUAGAUGGAUCCGCGCUGCAUUAGCUAGUUGGUAAGGUAACGGCUUACCAAGGCAACGAUGCAUAGCCGACCUGAGAGGGUGAUCGGCCACACUGGAACUGAGACACGGUCCAGACUCCUACGGGAGGCAGCAGUAGGGAAUCUUCCGCAAUGGGCGAAAGCCUGACGGAGCAACGCCGCGUGAGUGAUGAAGGUCUUCGGAUCGUAAAACUCUGUUAUUAGGGAAGAACAUAUGUGUAAGUAACUGUGCACAUCUUGACGGUACCUAAUCAGAAAGCCACGGCUAACUACGUG